rnacentral:rRNA from 1 species
AUGUCGAUCGUGCGGUGGAGCAACGUGUUCGACCCCUUCGCCGACCUCUGGGCGGACCCCUUCGACACCUUCCGCUCCAUCGUCCCGGCGAUCUCUGGCGGCAGCAGCGAGACGGCCGCGUUCGCCAAUGCUCGCGUGGACUGGAAGGAGACCCCCGAGGCGCACGUCUUCAAGGCCGACCUCCCCGGCGUGAAGAAGGAGGAGGUCAAGGUGGAGGUGGAGGACGGCAACGUGCUCGUCGUCAGCGGCGAGCGCACCAAGGAGAAGGAGGACAAGAACGACAAGUGGCACCGUGUGGAGCGCAGCAGCGGCAAGUUCGUGAGGCGGUUCCGCCUGCCGGAGGACGCCAAGGUGGAGGAGGUGAAGGCCGGGCUGGAGAACGGCGUGCUCACCGUCACCGUGCCCAAGGCCGAGGUCAAGAAGCCCGAGGUGAAAGCCAUCGAGAUCUCCGGCUGA